CUUCGACGGCAUGAAACGCUACAAAGUUAGCUCCGCCCGCUGACUGGGCGCCUACGACCUUUAUUUAUUGGAAAGGCGGGAUCUUAAGGCACAAGACGCCCACCUUUCUUUUCGGGGGGCGCUGCGCCUGCCGCCGUGGCCAAUCGCAGGCCACGUUUUGUCCCAGCAGCCAAUCAGAAAGACCAGAACGAUUACGACGCCAUUGGGCCGCCCCUCCCUCGCUGGUCGAGGGUGGUUAGUGGAAGCAACUGCCAUGGAUUCCUUUUCAUCCGCUCUGACUAAAUCCAUUGCCAUCGCGCUUCUUGUGAGGCCCAGAGGGAGCAUGCGAAGGGGAGAGGCAGGACCAAAGUUGAAGCGAAUCAGGCGUACCAAUGGGUCUCCGGUUCCUUGAUGCGGAGACAAUGGUACGGUUGACCGUAGGUGUGUGUCCUCGGAGGAGCUUGAAUGAGAAUCUCACAUGAAGAUAAGUUGACUUUUAAUUCAACGAACCCUUUUCUGCAAGAGCUUGUGCCCCAGUGGGGGAAUUAAGGAGGUAAGAAGGGGACUCUCGGGGAAACGCACUAAGUGGGGACUCGUCAGUAGCCUUACCGACAGGGGCAAUGGAAUGGUUUUGGUUGGGAUGUGGAUGGCUUUCAGGAGUGAGACGAUCUUGCAUAGAAGGACGUCUUUGUCAAGCUCUUCGUGGAUACGGUAUGAGGUUUCAGGUCUCAUAGAAGAAACAAAGUGGGGCCAAGUAGGGCCUAGUUUCUCUUUUGCAUCUUUAAAGAGGUCCUUAGCAUAUUAAGUGGUAUCGUUCCUGCCUAACGUUGGAGGCCCAUCAUAGAGAACAGAAAUGUUUGUAAUUUGUUCAUUUCUGUCUCUAGCUGGCAAGAAUGAGUCUAGCACUUCCAAGGAAGAUUGUUCUUUUUCCCUUUUUUGUUUGCUUUAUCCAGAGUCUAGCCAGAAAGAUUCAUCUCAAGAUGAGGUACAGAAAACUGCUCUGCUGCAGGACAGAUUUACUUAAAUGUAGACCCGCUAGAUGAAAAUAACCAACUCACUUUACAGAAGCCACAAGGGGUCGCUGCUCGGGGUGUUAAGUGUACUUCUGGAUGGGGAAGAAUUAUAUUCUUGGAGAUGUUGAAAAAAGAUUCCUGGGUCUUGGAAGAUAAUUACUAGAACUAUGCAGUGCUUCUGAUCAUUGGAAACCUUGUCUAACAACAGAAACAGCAUAUAAAGCAUAACCAGCUUUGAAGUGUAUUAAGGCGUGGUUGCCCAUCCCAUGUCAGGCUUGAUGUUGAAAAGACGACACCUCCAAGUUAGCAGAAGAAACAAAUCGAAGGGUGUUGUUCUCUAAGGACACCAUUUAUCAGAUUUAUCAAGAAUUCAGAGAUUUAUAUAAUAAGGUAGUCCGUCCUCUGCACCAUUUCAACAUAUGCCUGAAUAUCAGUUUUCACACUGUAGACAAUACCUGUCCCCCAACGAGACUGAACUUUUAGUCACAGUACUAACUGAAUUAUUCCGUAAACGUUGCUGCUAGCUCUUUAUUCCAGAAUCAUUAUGCAAAUAAAAGAUGUGCCUCGUGAAUCUACUUCGGAUUGAGGACUGUAAUAAAAAACACAUCACUUCUUUCAGAUUCUUGGUGAUUGAAAACAUCCAUUAGCUGCAGAUGGUAAAGCUGUGUUCUUCCUUGUCUCCCAUGCAACAUUUUACAAAAAUGGAUCAUCAGAAGAGGGAAUUGGUUAACAGAUACGACAGCAAAGAAAUGAAAAGUGCUAACACUGGAAAUGAAAUUAGAUGUGGUUAGAAGAUUUGAAAAUGGUCACAACAAAGUAAAAAAUAGGACAAGACCUGGGCCUACAUGACGCUACAGUACAAACCGUAUUUAAAAGUCUGAUGAGUUCCUGCUGUGGUGCAAAAGGAUCAGCAGCCUCUUGGGGAGUGCUGGGACGCAGGUUUGGUUCCUGGCACGGUGGGUUGAGGAUCCAGUGUUGCCACAGCUGCAGCUUUGGUUGUAACUACGGCUUGGAUCUGAUCCCUGGCCUGGGAGCUCCAUAUUCCUUGGGGUGGCCAAAAAAAAAAGGGGGGGUGUUUCAACAUCUUGUAGUUUAAAUUCCACUAGGAAAGCUGCUUAUGGUUGAAAUGGAGCCUUUAUUUCUACUUUGGAUUAAGGACUGUAAUUAAAAACAAAUCCCAUUCACUUAGGCACUGAAGUUAGUUGCUACAUGUAAGGAAAACGCUAAUUACAAGGACAUCUUUUUAGUACCAGUAAAGGUUGGUUUCAUUUUAGAAGUUAACAUGAAUUGAUUAAUAUUAAGCUAUCUGGUGAAGCUACAAGCUCAAUCAAAUAAGGAUGCUACUGUGAAAUUUGCACCCAGAUUCCAAGAAUUACAGGCAUUCCUCAUUUUGCACAGUAGUGAGAGACGACUGCAAAAAACUUCGAGAUUCGGAUGGAAUGUAAAUGGAAUUAAGGAAGGUAAUGAUGACCAUGGGAAUGGUGACACUGCUGCCAUUCAAGGAACAGUUCUAGACAUGUGGGAAGCAGAACUUACGGUGAAGUUCUAAGUGAAGAACGGUUGUAAAGCAUGAGUGCAUCUCAGGAAGUGAUGGUGUUGACAGACCUAGGCUGAAGGAGCUCUGCACACAUCCAUCGUGGUAUUGACAGCACAGAGGACAAAUUUUGGAAGGUGAUUCAGACUUAGAAAGGAGGAUGGCAAUUUACGAAGGCAUAGACAAGAUGCUCAUUAAGUUGUAAGAUGAGUAGAAGGCAAGCACUUUUCAAACUAUUUUUUAUAAAGAAAACAGUUUCAAUGUU